UAGGGAAUCUUCCACAAUGGACGCAAGUCUGAUGGAGCAACGGCCGCGUGAGUGAAGAAGGUUUUCGGAUCGUAAAGCUCUGUUGUUGGUGAAGAAGGAUAGAGGCAGUAACCGGUCUUUAUUUGACGGUAAUCAACCAGAAAGUCACGGCUAACUACGUGCCAGCAGCCGCGGUAAUACGUAGGUGGCAAGCGUUGUCCGGAUUUAUUGGGCGUAAAGCGAGCGCAGGCGGAAUGAUAAGUCUGAUGUGAAAGCCCACGGCUCAACCGUGGAACUGCAUCGGAAACUGUCAUUCUUGAGUGCAGAAGAGGAGAGUGGAACUCCAUGUGUAGCGGUGGAAUGCGUAGAUAUAUGGAAGAACACCAGUGGCGAAGGCGGCUCUCUGGUCUGCAACUGACGCUGAGGCUCGAAAGCAUGGGUAGCGAACAGGAUUA
rnacentral:rRNA from 1 species